GUGUUUGCAGAUGCGGCAUCUUCAAGAUUCACAAACUUUAGUAAGGGCUGCUUUUGGAGGCCAUGGGGGAGAGGGUUAGUACCCAAUAAUCAUCCAUCCUCCUUUAAUUUAUUCGAAAGUUGCCUUUGAGAAUGGGAAUCUUGAUGAUGCUGCAUCAGCAUAACA
rnacentral:pre_miRNA from 1 species